rnacentral:lncRNA from 1 species
UUCAAUUCUGAGGUUAGAUGGGUUAAUUCAAACUGAACUGAGUAUGUGUAUUGCUAUGCUCUGUUUUUGUUCAAUAUUUCUUCUUAUCCUGAUGCGAGCCUCCGGUCCUAGGUCAUGAAAGGGUCAUGCAAGGGUGCUAUAGUGCACAGAUCUUGAGAACAUGAGAUACUGUUUGUGAGUCUAAGUGGUGAGUGGCAAGACUCAAGAAAAUGAUUUAUUUGUGCCAGAGGAAGUACAUGACAUAUCUUUUAACCAAGCCUAAUAUACUUGGGUCCAGAUUUGUAGAAAAUGUAAGGACUUGGAUACCAAGACUCUAGCUGAUCAAGGUGAACUGUUUGGCAAUGCAUAAGAUUGGUAAUUCAACCAAACUACAUGAUGAUUAUUUGUCUCGAUGUCUCAUUAUUGGUUCGUGUUAUUGGCCAGAUUAUGCAAGUUUGUAGGAUAUCUCACAUGGAUGCAUUAAUAAGAAAUCUUAGAUGCCCAAGAAAUGCUGCUGAUCAAUAUGUAUGAAUAAAAUGGCCAAUUGGUGUCUAAGUGUUAUCUAAUGUCUACUAAAAAGCCAUUAACAGUCUAAGAUCAACCUCUGUUCAUUGUGCCUUUAACAUCAACAACUGGUUACUGUAUCUUUAAGAUCAACGACUUAUUUUGUACCUUUGUUGGAGAUAGCAUAUUAACCUUGAAGAUCAGGAAACAAAGUGCAGGUGCACGAUUUAGUGCAAAGUCUAAUGGUUGUUCAUUCUUGUAAAAUUGAAGCUUCUAGGUAAGGGUCAUUUAAAAGAGUACCAUGGCAGCUAGUCGCUUGGGGGUUGAAUCAACAGCCAAGUAUUCCUUGAACAUAAGAAACAUAUUACGUGGAUUGUCACUUUAUAUCAGACUUAGUUGAAAGUAAAGAAGUGGUUUUAGUUGAGAGUAAAGAAGUGGUUAUUAUUGUACUUUGGGUCAAAGAAUCAAUUGAAUGGCAUGUUACAAACAUGUUGGAAGAAAAACAGUUAUUUUGAGUGUUGUUCCAUGCUCAGAUGGCUUGGCAUCUACAUCUUGCAUGAGAGGGACUAUUGGAUAUUGCUGUUUUGUUAGUCAAAUUAAUAUGUCUUAUGCUUAUGCACUGUUCCCGAUUAUUUUCUACAUAACUGGGGCCUGAACUCAUGUUUUGGAUUCAUGAGGCAGCAUGAAUUCAUAUAUGUGGCUGAUAUCCAUGCUCUAAAAAGGUAUGCAUUUUGGAUGUUCGAUGAUUUGCGUCUGAUUCCUAAUUAUCUAAUUAAAGAAAAGUGGGGGUUCAGCCAGAUCGGGCAAUCCUGUAUUUUCUGUUAACUCCUCCCCUCCCCCCCCCCCAUCCUCCUCCUUUCCUUUAUUUUCCCUUUUUGUGCUUUUAGGCAUUGUUAUCCAUUCACCAUCGUGUUUGUAUUUAUUUUUCACUUACUAAUCAGAUCUGUUGUUUUAUUUGAUUGGUUAGAUCUAUUCUUCUUCUGUAGUAGAGUUAAUAUCAAAUAUAAAGACUUUAAGUCUCUGCUGGAGGUUCUUUAUGUACUCUGUGUGAAAAAAGAAAUGUGCAUCUUUGCUCAUCCAGUGUUUCUAGCUGUGCUUUAACUUAGCUCACGAAUUAGAUAUCUUCACCACUAUAACCACAUUAAGUGCAAGCCAAUUACUUUUUUCUUCUCUGAUCAACUCUAUAUUUCUAUUAAUUAUUUAAAUAACUAGAACUUAUGAACUAGGCAAAUUCAUUUGUCCUUUGUGCUCCAAAUGCAGACCACAUCC